AAAGCUUAUUAUUAUAUAACCUUUGUCAGCCCAAAUAAAGACUUCAAAAUCACCAUGGAUUUUGAUCUUCUCUACCUUGUUCUAUUAGGCUCUGUUCUUCUCAUCUUCUACAAACUCACUGCUCAGAAGAAAAAAUUUCAACACAAAAACCAAUUACCAAGCCCUCCUAGUCUUCCUAUAAUCGGCCAUUUCCAUCUUCUGAAACAGCCCUUAGGCCAAACAUUGACAAAUCUCUCAGCUAAGUAUGGUCCUAUUUACUUUCUGCGUUUAGGCUCACGCCCAGCCCUUGUACUGUCCGACCGUUCAGUCAUUGAAGAGUGUUUCUCAAAGAAUGAUAUCGUCUUCUCCAAUCGUCCACUCUUGCCCUCCAGGAAGUUUACAUCUUACAAUUUUGUCACGAUUAGCGCUCCAUACGGCAACUUUUGGCGCAACCUUCGCCGUUUCACUGCGCUGGAAAUAUUCUCUGCGAAGCGUCUGCAGAUGUCUUCGAACGUCCGCGCCGAAGAGCUCAGGAUCAUGAUCAAACACUUGUUUGAACGCUCCCUCAAGGGGGCAAAGGAAGUGGAUGUGAGAGCGUUUCUGUACGUGUUGGAUUUUAACAUCAUCAUGAGAAUGGUUGCAGGCAAUAGGUGCAUUGAAAAGGAGAAAAUUGACACAGAUGAAGCUAAAGCUAAAAUGGAUGAGCUUACGCGUAUUUUCAGACCUGAUAUCACAAGCGCUUUGGGGAUUAUUUUCCAUUUCUGAGAUGGUUGAGUUACUUUGGAGUUGAGAGAAAACUGGUAAAAUUACAUAAAAAGAGGGACGCUUUUACGCAGCGUCUGGUAGAUGCACACCGAAAUUCAAAGAAACCAUCUUCAGUUGAUGAUAUUGAGAUUAAAGGAGCAGUUGUAGAUGUGAUGCUGAAGCUGCAGGAAUCGGAGCCUGAAUUCUACACUGAUAAUGUCAUCAAAGGAUUUAUGCAGGCCAUGCUAAUGGCAGGAACACACACCACGGUGAUGACAAUGACAUCGGCUAUUUCAGAGCUGAUAUCACAUCCAGAGGUGCUAAAAAAAGCGAGGGAAGAGAUAGAUAACGUUGUGGGACAAUCCAGGAUUCUAAAUGAUGCUGAUCUUCCUAAACUGGCAUACCUUCAUUGUAUUCUGAAUGAGACACUUCGACUGAAUUUUUUAUCAGUUUUACCUCCUCGAGAAUCGUCAGAGGAUUGUAACAUAGCAGGUUACCACAUCCCACAAGGCACACAGCUACUAGUAAACAUAUCGGCAGUGCAUACGGACCCGGAUGUAUAUAGCGAGCCAAAAAUGUUCAAACCUGAACGUUUCCAAGAUAUAACAGAAGAAAAGGGAGGCUGUAAAUUCAUGUCUUUUGGUGUAGGAAGAAGGAUUUGUCCUGGGGCUAGCUUGGCCAUGAGAGUGAUGGAAUUAUCACUAGGGACUUUGAUACAAUGCUUUGAAUGGGAAAACGCUGAGGAUGUUAGCGUUGGUGCUACGGAGACGCCUGUGAAAAUAAUAUUUCGACCUCGUGAAGAACUUGUUAAAGUUCUUGAUCAACUUUGAACUGUCACCAAACAGUUGGGAAACGUAUGCAAAGUUUACGGUUUUUAGUUGGACAAUGAGAUGAUGGGUAGAUGGACAUGUUUAUAUGAAUGUCAUAAAACCGAUGUUAAACAAUUACAUGUUGUU